UACAUUUUAUGUUAAGAGUAGGUAUGGUAAGUAAAAGUAUAUUAGUUACAUUACUAUUAAACGAGCACAACUUCCUGCAUUUUGCACACGACUUCCUAUUAUUGCAAUUACCUUUGUGCAAAACACUUGCCUUUGCCAUUUUUCUCUCUAUAUAACAUGCAACUUUUUCUGUCACUCUCUCAAAAAAGUGCAGGACACUUUUUUAAUGAAUUUAGCUAAAUAUUUGAUUGAUUUUAGACAGGCUAUUUAUAAUAAGUUAAUAACUUAAAGUCAAACAUUUACUAGGUAUGCUAUGUAUUUAAAAUUAUAUUGAAACACACCCAACUUGUCAGAAGAAAAAGGUGCGAUGUUCAAAUUUUCUAUGGGAGGUCAACGCUUCGCGCCUAUUUUUUUUUUAAUUUGCCGCCUUUUCCUACUGACAAGGCAGCUAUGCCAGAGUAUAUUAUAAUAUAGUCAGUCAAACAAGUUUGUCAUUAGAAAAAGGUGCGAAUUUAAUAUUUUCUAUGGGACGAUAACCCUACGCAUCUCCAUUUUAUAAAGCCGCUUUUUUCUUCUGUCGGAAAUGGCUCGAAAGAAUUAUGGAAGGUGGAGGUAAGGAACGGAAUCUCCAUGUACCAAAAAGUGUCAUCAAAAAACCUUAAAUAGGUGGCGCUACAAUAUCUAGAAUACUUGAAAAAAAAUCAAAUCAUAGACAGCGCACUUUACUCCGUCAAUAACGCCUAGGUUCUUAGCUACUUUAGCGCUACUCUGGAGAGAUUUGGAACUAUUAUUUAUAGCUGACAGCUGCUGUGGCAGCAUGGUUCCAUUUUUAUCACUUGUCACUUUUGCGCUUACAUACUAGUUAGUACGUGACAGCAAUCCAUAUUAGCCAUACAGCGACGGUAUCAUGGUUCCAUUUUUAUCACUUGUCACUAUGCCCGUCACUUUCGCGCUUACAUACUUGCUAGAACAUGACAGGUAUAGUGACAAAUGAUAAAGAGCCGACCAUCUUAGCCCUACAGGACACUUUUCCAAAAGUUCUACGAUAACAGAUUUCACUCCUUUUAAUUCCAUACUCCAUAGAGAGAAUAUAUCAACGGCCGCGAUAAUCUAUGAUAGUUCUGAAAAGAGGUUUCAUGACUUUUUGUUAUCAGUUUGGAACCAAACGCAAGCUUACUGUCAUGUAUGUAUGUAAUGGCGGGAAAAAGUAAAAAGUCAGUUUUAAUUUGACGUGUAUACAUAAAUUCUAUAAAAUGGCAAAUAAAGUGAAAUUAAUAUCGACUUUAAAUAAAUAAGUAAAAUAUGGUGAUUAAAUUGCAUUAAUACGAAAAAGUUGUGUGAUGUUUGACAUUAGAUAAAUAGUGUAUCUAUUGUGCGAGCGAUCGCCAAUGGUCUUUGAGAUCUUAAGAGUUCAAGAAGCUGUACAAGUGCAGUUUAUCAAAUAGCAAAACGUCUGAUGGAUAGCAGUCAUCGAUUCGAUAAUAUGGAAAUAUGGAGAUGGCAUGAGACGUGCUAUUUUCAGCAGCUGGCAUAUUUUGCUCGAUCUUGAGAAGAUUGUGAUAGAAGUAAAUAAGAACCCGUCGGGACCUAGCGGCUAUCAUUAAGGUUCCGUAAUGUUUUCAUCAUCAGUUACACCCGUCCGCGGCUUAGCGGCGUCGCGGCUUGGUAACUUAGUUUUAUACCUUAGCGCAAUUUUUAAUUUGUUUUUGACAAAGUAGCUAAAUACGUUCAAUAAAGAAUAUUAGUUCUAUAGUUCUUAAAAAAAACAUACUUCUUGUUUACCUCUAGUCCAUUCAACAUUUGUAUAAUAUUUAAACAUUACUUUAAAGUUAUCUGAAAUCAAAGCACCUCAUAUAAGCUUCUUUGCACAACAUUUUGAUUACGCUUGCGAUAUAUAAGUAAAUGUCUUGUAAAAACAACCAAGAUUUUGUUUCCCUGAAAUUUCCUUACAAAUUUAAACAAAACAAAUUAUGUAGUUAUACACGUACACGGGUACGUAACGCGCCACUCACGCCAUUGUCACGAGGCGUGCGUGUUGUUGCAGAUGCAUACAACAGUCAGAAAUCGCUUCAUUGUGACCAUUAUUAGUUAAUAUCCGAUUACGCAUUCUUAUUGGCCACUAAUAGCGAUUCGCACACUGUAUUCUUUUCCUGAAUCCAACGCUCGCCUGUGCUAGGAUAGCGGCUGGAAUGAAGUAAAGGAACGUGCUCAACGAUGUACGCUCGCCACUCGCCCCACAUUACCGCUUUUAUUCAGUCUAGCGUUAUUUUACUUUAUACGAUAACUUUAGAAAACUCUAAUACGUAUGCUAGGUAAAGUUACUAAUGAAUUUGGUACAAAUUAACACAGAAACAGAACCGAGGAGGCGACUUUUACAAUGAUAUCAAAUAUCAACCUAAUAUUUAAAAUAAUCUACUGUUACUCUCUAGUCUGUUUUGUAUACCUUUGUUUUGAAUAUGGGUGGAUCAACUAUUCUUUGCUGUUAUUUUGUCUCAGCAGCCAGGGAAUAAUAGUACCACAAAUUGUUGGAAAUAAUAUCUACAUGUACCACGUUCUAAAUACAAGCUUGGUGAAUUAAAAAUGUCAUAGAACCAGGUGUUAAGUACAUAGUGAUAUGUAUAUUUACUAAAAAGAAAUAUUUUUAGUAUAAUUAUUAUUUGAUUUAUUCCCAAGUUGGAUGCCCAACUCAUACAUGGGGUAGCUGCAAGUUGUCUUACACAUCUCUGAGGCAAUUUGAUGUAGUGGUUAGAUUGGAUGCUUUUUCUUGUUUUGGCUAUUGUCAUGUCAUCUGUCAAACUCAAAGCGGUAUUGAUCCUUUAAGUCUAAGGAGAGACUUUUGCCUCCUUG